AUUGAACGCUGGCGGCAGGCCUAACACAUGCAAGUCGAGCGGAUGAGAAGAGCUUGCUCCUCGAUUCAGCGGCGGACGGGUGAGUAAUGCCUAGGAAUCUGCCUGGUAGUGGGGGACAACGUUUCGAAAGGGACGCUAAUACCGCAUACGUCCUACGGGAGAAAGCAGGGGACCUUCGGGCCUUGCGCUAUCAGAUGAGCCUAGGUCGGAUUAGCUUGUUGGUGAGGUAAUGGCUCACCAAGGCGACGAUCCGUAACUGGUCUGAGAGGAUGAUCAGUCACACUGGAACUGAGACACGGUCCAGACUCCUACGGGAGGCAGCAGUGGGGAAUAUUGGACAAUGGGCGAAAGCCUGAUCCAGCCAUGCCGCGUGUGUGAAGAAGGUCUUCGGAUUGUAAAGCACUUUAAGUUGGGAGGAAGGGCAGCUAGCGAAUACCUUGCUGUUUUGACGUUACCGACAGAAUAAGCACCGGCUAACUCUGUGCCAGCAGCCGCGGUAA
rnacentral:rRNA from 1 species